CAAGGUUUCCGUAGGUGAACCUGCGGAAGGAUCAUUACAGUAUUCUUUUUGCCAGCGCUUAAUUGCGCGGCGAAAAAACCUUACACACUGUGUUUUUUUGUUACUGAAAAAACUUUGUUUUGGGUUGUCUCUAGAAAUAGAGUUGGGGCAAAAGUUAACAUAAACUUCAAUUUAUUUGAAUUAUUUAUCUGAACUUAAUAGUCACUUUGUUUGAUUGAUUUCAAAAAAAUAUUUAAAACUUUCAACAAUGGAUCUCUUGGUUCUCGCAUCGAUGAAGAACGCAGCGAAAUGCGAUAAGUAAUAUGAAUUGCAGAUUUUCGUGAAUCAUCGAAUCUUUGAACGCACAUUGCGCCCUUUGGUAUUCCAGAGGGGAUGCCUGUUUGAGCGUCAUUUCUCUCUCAAACCUUAGGGUUUGGUAUUGAGUGAUACUCUUAGUCAAACUAAGCGUUUGCUUGAAAAGUAUUGGGAAGAGUGGUACUAAAUUAGUGCUUCAGAUUUUUCAAUGUAUUAGGUUUAUCCAACUCGUUGAAUAGUCUGAUGGGAAGUGUUUAGUAGCAUUGGCUCGGGCUUACAACCAACAAACAAGUUUGACCUCAAAUCAGGUAGGAAUACCCGCUGAACUUAAGCAUAUCAA
rnacentral:rRNA from 1 species